rnacentral:tRNA from 1 species
UCCCUGGAGGAAUAAUGGUUAGGCCCAGCGCUCUCACCGCUGUGGCCCAGGUUCAAUUCCCGGCCAGGGAA